UCCGAGUUGACCCCGGCAGUCUCCCGCGAGUCCCCGCCAUUACGCGCUGGCAACACAGGACAAGGGUUGCGCUCGUUGCGGGACUUAACCCAACAUCUCACGACACGAGCUGACGACAGCCAUGCACCACCUGUAUACCGACCACAAGGGGGGCCGUAUCUCUACGGCUUUCCGGUAUAUGUCAAACCCAGGUAAGGUUCUUCGCGUUGCGUCGAAUUAAACCACAUGCUCCACCGCUUGUGCGGGCCCCCGUCAAUUCCUUUGAGUUUCAGUCUUGCGACCGUACUCCCCAGGCGGGGUGCUUAAUGCGUUUGCUGCGCCACCGACCGGCAUGCCGACCGACAGCUAGUCAUCAUCGUUUACGGCGUGGACUAC
rnacentral:misc_RNA from 1 species